GCCAACCUUUACUACAUUAGUUUGCAUGCAUGAACAUACAGCAGCAGCCCUUCUCUUUUGCUAUGGCGCAACCUCCUCUUCCACAUGCAAAAUGGCAACAUCUAGUGCCUACUCUCUUAACUCCCUGGCCUAAUUUCCUUUGCAUGUCUCUUUCCAUCUCUCUUUACUUCUCUAUUUGCAGCAACCAUUUUUAUUCAUUCGAUUUUGCUCUCUAUUCAAUUACAUGCAUAACAAUAUCUCCUCUCCCAUCUCCCACCUAAGAAAAUAGCACUCUAUAUGUGGCACCUCCUCUCUUUCUUCUCACGUAAAAACAGCCCCCAAUGCCCACUGGUUCCUCCUUAAUGCCCUCCUUAAUUCAGAUGAGUAAAGUGCAGGCAUAAAUCUUUGUCUCACAUUUUUGCAUGCAUACAUGUACCUAUCUUUUCUCCUACCUUUCUCCAUCACGCAUGCAAGCAGAUGGACAGCACCACAC
rnacentral:lncRNA from 1 species